CAAUGUCAACAUGCCCACCACUGUUGCCCCACACCUCUUAUGGUCCUCUCCUGUCUGUCAUCUUAUCAGGACUCUGGCAGACACGGUGAUCAGGGUUACCAAGCGCUGCCUGUGUGUUUGUUUGCUUCUUAUCCCGCCUCGUGGCAUGGCAUGCGGCACACUGCGCCUCAAGCCCCUUAGCAUACCCUGCAUGGACGACAGAGAUAAACCAAAAAAAAAAAAAACAAACAAACAAAACGGCACUAAAGAGCAGCCAUCAGAGAAAACAGACAUCACUGGAGGAAUCUGCGCGCCCUUCCCUCAGGAGAGGAGACCAGUACUGCAGACUCUUGAAUGUCAGACUGGAAAGUUGAGUGAUGAUGCAGUAAAAUUGUGACGGAAACAGCUGCCCAGUAAGCUAGUUGGAGGAAGGAUGGUCUUUUGGAAAAUGGCCGAUGGUCGCUGGUGAAGAAAUAUGGAGACAAACAGCAGUAACAGAGUUUCAGGUACCCCCAUAGUGCUGUAAAGAUGUCGUCUGGAUGAUCAUCCCCUUGCGCCUUGCUCCCCACCUGCUUGGAAAACAUUUGGACAAGGCGGUUGAGGGCUUCGAAGUACGGCUUGUACCUGAAAGGCUCCAUCUCUUCUUCUGUUCCUGCCACAGCCGCCGGACCUGAAAAUUGCCGUGCCCUGGGUUCCCAACCCUGGUUGAACCGGUCUCUGGAUUGGACUCAGUGAUAGGGGAGACUCACCUCCACCCUACGGAAUAACUCAACGUAGGGGAGUCUGCUCAGCCCGUCUUGGAGACCCGCACCACCACACCAAAGUACCUCUAUUGGGAUCGACAGUCGAGUCGGCUGUCCCACUACGACAUUGUGCCCCCGGCACGAUGUCCCGGACCUCUUGGAGGUCGAUGCGGUCAACACGCGAUUUUACCAAUACUAAAUAAUAAAUACACAACUUGCUGAAUGCAGGAUUAUUCACCACAAAAAUUCAGUCCACUCUUCAUUCCACCAUAUCAAAAUUUUGAUUUGCAGCAGAUUAGGAGAAUUUGAAUAAACAGGUUUGCCCCUUACCUUAUAGUUGGCCGGUCAGAUAUUGAGGAUGAAAAAGUGGACCACGGAUUCUCCAGAAACACCCUUUGGAAAGGAAAUCACGUCGGAGUCACCAUUUUGUUGGAGAGUUUGUGCCAAUUGCCCGUUACACCACUACCCCCCACCACCAACAACCAACCCCCCAUCCGCCCCGGAGUUCAUAGAGGCUCUGGAUGUUGUGUGGCUGUCCUGGUUGACACGCCUCUGCAACAUUGCAUGGACAUCGGCGACAGUGCCUCUGGAUUGGCAGGCUGGGGUGGUGGUCCCCCUUUUUAACAAGGGUGACCGGAGGGUGUGUUCCAACUACAGGGGGAUCACACUGCUCAGUCGCCCUGGUAAGGUCUAUUCAGGGGUGCUGGAAGGUUCACUGGGAAGUCGAAUCUCAGAAUCAGGAGGAGCAGUGUGGUUUUCGUCCUGGCCGUGGAACAGUGGACUACACCCUCGGCAGGGUCCAUGUUAUUUCUCCCAACCAUUCUAUGUGUUUUGUGGACUUGGAGAAGGCGUUCGACCGUGUGGGGGGUGCUUUGGGAGUAUGGGGUACCAAACCGCCUUAUACGGGCUGUUCGGUCUCUGUACGACCAGUGUCAGAGUUUUGUCUGCAUUGCAGUAUGUCGGACUCGUUUCUGGUGAGGGUUAGACUCUGCCAAGGCUGCCCUUUGUCACUCAUUCUGUUCAUUACUUUUAUGGACAGAAUUUCUAGGCACAGCCGAGGCGUAGAUGGGGUCUGGUUUGAUGGCCUCGGUAUUGUAUCUCUGCUUUUUGUAGAUGAUGUGGUUGAGAGACUAUGUCUCCCGGCUGGCCUUGGAGCGCCUCAGGAUCCCCCGGAAGAGCUGGAUGAAGUGGCUGGGGAGAGUGAAAUCUGGGCCUCCCUGCUAAAGCUACUGCACGACCCGACGUCGGAUAAGCGGAAGAAAAUGGAUGGAUGGAUGGAUGGAUAGCAUCGUAAUUACCAAUAUUAUUUAACAAUUAACAUUUACUAAGGUGAGCUGAGGAAAAGUUUGCUGAGGAGUACCCCUGCAGUGAUAUCACAAGACACAACAAGAUUCUAAGAUUUUUUUGACAGUGUGCAAUUCAUCGACAGUUUUUAGUGGACCUCGACAGACUUUUAGUCAUGAAAGUCACGAGUACCCACCAAAACAGCCAGGCGAAAAGGAAAAAAAAGACAACUCCUCAACUGACAAGUGAUCUUGACUCUCUCAAUCCAGCGGUCUACGUUUUGGAUUCCAUCAACAGGAAAAGAUAGUCCCUUGGCUUUGUACAUCAGGAGAUCUGACAGAAUUUGCCUCAUUUGUGGUAGAUAAAUAAUUUGGUAAUAACAUCGAUGGUCUACUGUUUAGAGACAUUUGGUGACCUACUCCUCUACCAUAGGGGCAUAUUUGUAAAGUAUAUGUCACGGAAAGAGUAUAACCACUUUUAUAUGUAAAAAUUCACUCUGUUACCUCAGACAGAGCAAUUGAGAGGCAAGACGCUUCUCUGGGUUACUGAAAGAUGUGACUGUGAUUGAAGGUCAGAUGACAAAGAUGUUAUGGGGUCAGUUAAAAUUCAUAUUUGCAUUGUUUAUUUUAUUUAAUACAUGCACGUAACUUCCAGCAAGUUUUCAACCAUUGUUUAGCUAAAAAUCUGGUUUUUAUGAUGCAUAUUGACUCCUCCCCGAACACACCUGAAGCUCAAGACACCGGGGCGUGGUUACUCUAUCCAUCACAAGGGCUGCAAGAAGUGACGAUGCAAUUGACAAACACAGCGUGCUACACACUAAGUGCAAUGGCGAACAACGUGUUGGAAUAUGUGGAGGAGGACGAUUUCGACAGACAGGAGCACCCAAUUGAACUUGGCAUCGUCAAAGCGUACGUUUGAGCCGAUCAGACAGUGACGAUGACGAGCAGCCAAGUAGCAGCUGUACAACAGAAAAAGAGAGUGGCCACUGGCUCGAUGUGACGGUAUGUCAAAAGCAUGUCUUUUUAUACAGUCAUGGCUUGAAAUAAUGCCACUCCAGGGGUGCCAAUAUUUUGUAGCACGACUAUACGUAUUAUGUAUUCAAAUGUGUUUCAGUGACAUGGCACAAGCUUUUACAUAGGAUGCAGUAUUCCUAUAUAUUGUGUGCCCCUCACUCAAGUAGCGUUAUAACACGCUGCACAGAGUCUUUGCCGUGUGUCUGUUGGCUUGUCAUAUAGGCAAAAAUACAGAUGACAGUAUUGAAAAGUACUGUGUGAGUCUUUUUUUUCCUACUCCCCAGUGCAUAGUAACCAUAAUAGAGUCGUAGGUAUAUACAAGGAAAUGCUCACCUCGUCUGUAUGAGAUUAAGUUCUCUUGCUGGCGGUGGAGGUCCCGAUGGCCGUAGGAAAAGUAGUUGGCACCGCAGCUGGUUUCAGCCUCUGCUUGUAUCCAAUGCGUUCUGCUAAGACUAAGUCUCUCAAAACACGCCGGUUCGAAGUGAUCGGCACAGUUUGGAAUGCUUGCUAGGCACCCAUAGCUGACCACGGUUCUUCCCGUCAAUUGACUUUCCCUAUCCAUCCAUCCAUCCAUCCAUUUUCUGAGCCGCUUAUCCACACAAGGGAGUGCUGGAGCCUAUCCCAGCUAUAUUCGGGCAGGAGGUGGGGUACACCCUGAACUGGUUGCCAGCCAAUCACAGGGCACAUAAAAACAAACAACCAUUCACACUCACAUUCACACCUAGGGGCAAUUUUAGAGUCUUCAAUUAAUCUACCAUGCAUGUUUUUGGGAUGUGGGAGGAAAGCGGUGUGCCCGGAGAAACCCCACGCAGGCACGGUGAGAACAUGCAAACUUCAUACAGGCGGGGCCAGGAUUUGAACCCCGGUCCUCAGAACUGUGAGGCAGACGGUCUAACCAGUCGUUCGCCGUGCCGCCUUUCCCUAUCCACUGGUCAUGUAUUUCUUUUUCACUUGGAAAGCCAAAAAAAAAAAAAAAAAAAAAAAAAAACUUGCCGCUGCCUGAAGCAUUUGUACAACCAAAUGCCACACAAUAAACCACCGUGACAUCUUUAAAUCAUACGACAACAAAUAUACAAGGACGGGAACAACAGCAUGGAACAACAGCACACAAUGGCGAAUGAACAGGAUGUUUGGCUUGUGUGACGUCACAGCGCUGGAAAGAGACCAAGACCGGAAGGCACAUUCUGCAUCAUAUUUAUCAAUUUAACUGCUGUAUAUCUGCUAUUUAAUCACUUCGAAAUGGCAAAUGUGGUUUGUAAAGGGAUUCUAGAGUUAUCAAGAAAAAAUUGAAAAUCUUUGUCCUCUGACCUUUAAGUGCAGAGGCAAACACAUCAAUGCACUCUUCACUAUGACACACUUUGGAUUCUGGAGGUAAAACAGAGCACACAUAAACGCACACACAAACCAAAAUAGUUUUUGUGUGUUUGGUCGGAUAAGGCUUAGGUCUUCCGAUACAGCGCUGGUAUUGACUUAAUACCUCCAUCUGCUGAAUAAAAAGAACAUAGACUUUACAAAAUUAUUCUUACAGCUUUUUUAUCUGUCA